rnacentral:tRNA from 1 species
UGAAGAUAUAGCUCAACUGGUACAGUGCUUGCCUUGCAUGCACAAAGCCCUGGGUUCAAUCCUCAGUUUAA